rnacentral:misc_RNA from 1 species
AACGCACCUUGCGCUCCUUGGUAUUCCGAGGAGCAUGCCUGUUUGAGUGUCAUGAAAUCCUCAGCUGCCCCAGGCUUUUGUGGCCUGUGGGUGAAGUUGGACUUGGAGGUAUGCUGGCGCAUGAAUGGGCUUUGUGCCCUGCUGUGCUUGUCGGCUCCUCUUGAAUGUAUGAGCUUUCCAAUCCUUGGCAAAGUAUCGUCGAUGUGAUAAUUAUCUAUGUCGCCCGAGAAAGCCGUAAAGGGGAAAUCUUCGAUCACGCUGGGGCAACCCCCGUGUCUGACAAAUUCGACCUCAAAUCAGGUAGGACUACCCGCUGAACUUAA